rnacentral:rRNA from 1 species
GACGAACGCUGGCGGCGUGCUUAACACAUGCAAGUCGAACGGUAAGGCCCUUCUUGUGGUGGGCGCGCGAGUGGCGGACGGGUGAGUAGCACGUGAGUAACCUGCCCUUUACGUUGGAAGAACGUCAAGAAACUGGGAUUAAUACCGUAUAGUCGCUCCUGCUGCAUGGGGGUGGUUAGAACGUUUCGGCGGUUGGGGAUGGACGCGCGGCUUAUCAGCUUGUUGGGGGGGUAGUGGCUUACCAAGGGUUUGACGGGUAGCCGGCCUGAGAGGGUGACCGGCAACAUUGGGCCUGAGAUACGGCCAAGACUCCUACGGGAGGCAGCAGUGGGGAAUAUUGAACAUGGGGCGGAAGCCUGAUGAAGCAACGCCGGGUGCGGGAUAACGGCUUUCGGGUGGUAACCGGCUUUAGCAGGUGAGGAAGCGUGAGUGACGGUAAUGGGUAAAGAAGCACCGGCUAACUACGUG